rnacentral:rRNA from 1 species
UACGGAGGGUGCGAGCGUUAUCCGGAAUCACUGGGCGUAAAGGGCAUGUAGGUGGUUUGUUAAGUCUGGCGUUAAAGGCUGGGGCUCAACCCUGGUAUGGCGUUGGAUACUGGCAGGCUUGACGGUUGGAGAGGCGAGUGGAAUUGCCAGUGUAGCGGUGGAAUGCGUAGAUACUGGUAGGAACACCUAUUGCGAAGGCAGCUCGCUGGACAACUCGUGACGCUGAGGUGCGAAAGUGUGGGGAGCAAACCGG